rnacentral:miRNA from 1 species
UGUCUAAGACAACUCCUUGGA